ACAGCAUAGAUACUACAUACACACAUGGAUAUGAAACAGGAAGUCGGUAUCCAAUUAACUCUUUGAAGUUCAUCUGUAAACGUCAUAACCAGCAUAGCUCUAUCCUUGGCGCUUUUCUCUCUGUCUAUGUUUUUAAGAAUUUUCUUGACUCACUUAUUUUUGUGAAAGAAGGCCUCAUGUUUACAUGACAAAAUUAGAAGACCUCCAUUUUUCUUUGUAACCACCUUUUCUAGACUCUCGAACGGAGUUAGCUAGUAAGUCUUGGAAUCAUAAUAGUGUAUUGUUUGUUACAUGGACUGAACUAUUCUCGUGUCAAUGUAAUGAGAAAUGACUGAGAUAAUAGCCAAAAA
rnacentral:lncRNA from 1 species